UUGUUUUUUUCCUUCUCCUAGUGCCGCUGACGAGAGGGUCCCAGGCGUCGUCUCCUUCCUCUGGACGAACUCCUGGAAACGCACGAGAGUGUCCCCGAACCAAAUCCACUCCGAUUUGGCUCAAUCUUUGCUCCUCGCGUAGACCCACGUCCGUAUAAAUACUCCCUGUGUCCUCCUCGUACGAUUUUUCGCCAAACGGAGAUCUCCCGUGCCCUAGAACGCGCCGCUGGACCUCGCCGGGGUACCUCCGUCCAGAAGCUUCCCGCUGGUCGAUUCCGUCGCGUAUGGAGACACCACAUCGAGCCCUAGGACCUCCGCCCGAAGCUUCAUGGAGGCAGCUCCGCUCCAGCUGGUCACUGUCACCACAGGAGCAAGCCCCAAUCGUCUCCGAUGUCACCUAAUUCAUCUCUGUGGCGUUCUGCACCCGUCGGUGAUCUCGACGUAGCCGGACGGCCCCUGUAGCCGUCGCUCGCAUCACUACCGAGCCGCCCGACGCGUUCUUCUCCAAGUCUGGUGACCACCUUGCUCUGUUCUCCGAUUGUCCGAAGUGUGAAGCGGAUCGAAAUUAAGCGUUAGAGUACUUCAAUACCGUUCAAGGCAAGUUUGCACUUUGAUUUUGCUUAUCCUAUAUUCUGCUAUGCAAGUGUGGUUUUAUGCUAUGAUAUAUGUUUGGCCUGGCCGUGUUGUCAUGUUUUGGUAUUGAUUGUAUUAUGUGUUGGUGUGAUCAA